rnacentral:rRNA from 1 species
AGACUCUCGGCAACGGAUAUCUCGGCUCUUGCAUCGAUGAAGAACGUAGCGAAAUGCGAUACUUGGUGUGAAUUGCAGAAUCCCGUGAACCAUCGAGUCUUUGAACGCAAGUUGCGCCCGAAACCAUUAGGUUGAGGGCACGCCUGCCUGGGUGUUGCACA